rnacentral:rRNA from 1 species
AAGUCUAUUAUUAAAGGUUGUUGCAGUUAAAAAGCUCGUAGUAGGAUUUGUGGGUGGUUCUGCGGUCCGCAUUAGCUGGUACUGUCGAAGCCGCCCAUCCUUGGGAGUAGCCUGUUUCGCAUUAGGUUGUGGAGCAGGGGAGACCCAUCGUUUACUGUGAAAAAAUUAGAGUGCUCUAAGCAGGCUUACGCCGCUGAAUAUAUUAGCAUGGAAUAAUGAGAUAGGACCUUGGUGCUAUUUUGUUGGUUUGCGCACCUUUGUAAUGAUAAAUAGGGUCAGUUGGGGGUCUUCGUAUUCCAUUGUCAGAGGUGAAAUUCUUGGAUUUCUGGAAGACGAACUACUGCGAAAGCAUUGAUCACGGAUGUUUUCAUUUAUCAAGAACGAAAGUUAGGGGAUCGAAGAUGAUUAGAUACCAUCGUAGUCGUCAUACUGGUUUCCUGA